GUAUUUUGUAAAGUUGUUCUAGUUUUGUAACUAAAAUGGUUUGGCAGUGAGCGAUUCUUAUUAGGGGAAUAUGCAUAGUGAAGGAUGGUCCACCUAUUAGUUUACUCUUUUUAUGUUGGUGUAUGUCUGGUUUGAUAUUAUUGUUGAAUAAUUUAAGUUUGUGUAGUUUUAGUUAAGCUAAGUCUAUGUGCUGCUUAUGGGAGUUUUUGUGUGUUACAUUAAUAAGGGUGUUAUUGUGAGAUGAUGUGAUUUAG
rnacentral:rRNA from 1 species